CCUACGGGGGCUGCAGUGGGGAAUAUUGGACAAUUGGCGAAAGCCUGAUCCAGCCAUGCCGCGUGUGUGAAGAAGGCCUUCGGGUUGUAAAGCACUUUCAGUGGGGAAGAAAGCCUUGGGGCUAAUACCCUCGAGGAAGGACAUCACCCACAGAAGAAGCACCGGCUAACUCCGUGCCAGCAGCCGCGGUAAUACGGAGGGUGCGAGCGUUAAUCGGAAUUACUGGGCGUAAAGCGCGCGUAGGCGGUCUGAUAAGCCGGUUGGGAAAGCCCCGGGCUCAACCUGGGAACGGCAUCCGGAACUGUCAGGCUAGAGUGCAGGAGAGGAAGGUAGAAUUCCCGGUGUAGCGGUGAAAUGCGUAGAGAUCGGGAGGAAUACCAGUGGCGAAGGCGGCCUUCUGGACUGACACUGACGCUGAGGUGCGAAAGCGUGGGUAGCAAACAGGAUUAGAUACCCUAGUAGUC
rnacentral:rRNA from 1 species